AGUUUGAUCCUGGCUCAGGAUGAACGCUAGCGGCAGGCCUAAUACAUGCAAGUCGAACGGGAUUGGAGAGCUUGCUUUCCAUGAGAGUGGCGUACGGGUGCGUAACGCGUAUGCAACCUACCUUCAUCAGGGGGAUAGCCCGAAGAAAUUCGGAUUAACACCGCAUAAAAACACAACCUGGCAUCAGGAAAUGUUCAAAUAUUUAUAGGAUGAAGAUGGGCAUGCGUGUCAUUAGCUAGUUGGUGAGGUAACGGCUCACCAAGGCGACGAUGACUAGGGGAUCUGAGAGGAUGACCCCCCACACUGGUACUGAGACACGGACCAGACUCCUACGGGAGGCAGCAGUAAGGAAUAUUGGUCAAUGGAGGCAACUCUGAACCAGCCAUGCCGCGUGCAGGAAGACAGCCCUAUGGGUCGUAAACUGCUUUUAUACGGGAAUAAACCUUGAUUCGUGAAUCAAGCUGAAUGUACCGUAAGAAUAAGGAUCGGCUAACUCCGUGCCAGCAGCCGCGGUAAUACGGAGGAUCCAAGCGUUAUCCGGAUUUAUUGGGUUUAAAGGGAGCGUAGGCGGCUUAUUAAGUCAGGGGUGAAAGACGGUGGCUCAACCAUCGCAGUGCCUUUGAUACUGAUGAGCUUGAAUGUAGUUGAGGUAGGCGGAAUGUGACAAGUAGCGGUGAAAUGCAUAGAUAUGUCACAGAACACCGAUUGCGAAGGCAGCUUACUAAGCUAUUAUUGACGCUGAGGCUCGAAAGCGUGGGGAUCAAACAGGAUUAGAUACCCUGGUAGUCCACGCCCUAAACGAUGAUAACUCGAUGUUGGCGAUAUACAGUCAGCGUCCAAGCGAAAGCGUUAAGUUAUCCACCUGGGGAGUACGCCCGCAAGGGUGAAACUCAAAGGAAUUGACGGGGGCCCGCACAAGCGGAGGAGCAUGUGGUUUAAUUCGAUGAUACGCGAGGAACCUUACCCGGGCUUGAAAGUUACUGAAGAAUUUAGAGAUAGAUUCAUCCUUCGGGACAGGAAACUAGGUGCUGCAUGGCUGUCGUCAGCUCGUG
rnacentral:rRNA from 1 species